CUGCCGAAUACUAGGGCCCCGAAAAUGAAUGGCGCAUAUAGUACUACCGAUCUCAGACAUCAGUUCUAUUGAACUGAGAGUAGGGGGAUGUGGACAUUUUUGUGAAGGUGCAAUGUGAGUUGGACUGGAAGAAUGUCUAUUACAGAUCCUAAUUGAAGUAGCGAUUAUCCAGGCUUGUAUCCUGGGGGCUGAUGAGGAGUAGGGUUUCUGGACAACUUAAACAGAUCCAGAGUUAGUCGAUCCUAAUCUCAAUAAUGGGAGAAAGGGAGUACAGUUGAUAUUCUGUAACUGACAACAGUUCGCGGCAACGCAUACUAUUUUUCUCCGCCAAUCUUAUACCGUUGGUAGGGAUCUCUUUCCUACAUGACAGUACUAAUACCCAGGGAAACUGGUCAUCAGGCGAACUGCGGCGUUCUGCUGGCAAAACAUAGCUUCGGUUAUGUCAAUGGCUAUUGGAUUGGUCCAUGAAGCGAAAAAUAGUUUACUGUGUCACUCGUACCGAUAACCGCAUCAGGUCUUCUAGGUAAGUAGCCUAUGGCCAUUGAGGCAUGAUAGUUCAGGGAAUUCGGCCAAUUAGAGCUGUAACUUCGGGAUAAAGCUUGGCUCUGAUGAAAAUCAGAACCGAUUGUUACGCGGAGAGCCCAACUGUUUAAUAAAAACGUAGUGUCGCGCUGUGGUAGUAUAGCCAGUGAACGCGACAUGAAUCCUGCUCAGUGCUGUGUCUGUUAAUAUGGUUCAAGCCAACGAAGCACCGGUAAAUAGCUGGGGUAACUAUGACUCUUAUCAAAGUAGCGAAAUACCUCGUCACUUAAUUAGUGACCUGCAUGAACGGAGCUAUGAGGUUCUCACUGUCCCAAACUGUCUCUCAGCGAACCAACUGUAGUGGGAACGGUCACUAGAUAUCCAGCGGGGAAAGAAGACCCUGUAGAGCUUCACUUUGGUCUAGUCUUGUAUAGUUCCUGCGGGGGUGUAGACUAGGUGGGAGAGCAAUCGAUUCUGAAAAACCACUACCCUGUUUGGAAUUAUGCUUACCUAUCACAAGGAAUACGACUAGAUAGAAAGUUUGGCUGGGGCGGCACACCUUCGAAGAGCA
rnacentral:ncRNA from 1 species